AUUGAACGCUGGCGGCAGGCCUAACACAUGCAAGUCGAACGAGAGGCGGACGGGUGAGUAAUGUCUGGGAAACUGCCCGAUGGAGGGGGGUAACUACUGGAAACGGUAGCUAAUACCGCAUACCAUCGGAUGUGCCCAGAGGGGAUUAGCUAGUCGGGGGGGUAACGGCUCACCUAGGCGACGAUCCCUAGCUGGUCUGCGAGGAUGACCGGCCACACUGGAACUGAGACACGGUCCAGACUCCUACGGGAGUCAGCAGUUGGGAAUAUUGCACAAUGGGCGCAAGCCUGAUGCAGCCAUGCCGCGUGUAUGAAGAAGGCCUUCGGGUUGUAAAGUACUUUCAGCGAGGAUGCGUUACUCGCAGAAGAAGCACCGGCUAACUCCGUGCCAGCAGCCGCGGUAAUUC
rnacentral:rRNA from 1 species